UACGGGGGGGGCGAGCGUUGUUCGGAAUCACUGGGCGUAAAGGGUGCGUAGGCGGGUCUUUAAGUCAGGGGUGAAAUCCUGGAGCUCAACUCCAGAACUGCCUUUGAUACUGAGGAUCUUGAGUUCGGGAGAGGUGAGUGGAACUGCGAGUGUAGAGGUGAAAUUCGUAGAUAUUCGCAAGAACACCAGUGGCGAAGGCGGCUCACUGGCCCGAUACUGACGCUGAGGCACGAAAGCGUGGGGAGCAAACAGG
rnacentral:rRNA from 1 species